rnacentral:snoRNA from 1 species
CAGGACUGUAAUGAUGAGUCUCAAAUGCAUAGUUCAACUGAAUUGCUAUGUUGAAGAUCUAUCCAUCAAGUCUUUCGCUCCUAUCUGACAUUUUUA